rnacentral:RNase_P_RNA from 1 species
GUGAGCAAUUGAUCGCUAUACCUAGUGUGUAGAGGAAAGUCCGUGCUUGCACAGACUGCGAUGUCUGUAAUGUUUUUGUAGGUGUGAAACUAUAAACCCUAGAGUCAUUAGCUUGACUACGGCUGCGGAGUAAUCUAAGUACUUUACUGUAUAUGAUUACGAAGCAUCAAAGUGCCACAGUGACGAACAAAAGAGAAAUCUUGAAGUGAAACGCGGUAAACCCCAAAAGCAAGAAACCUAAAUAUUGGUAAGGGAACGAAUCACUAAGAAUCAAAUUAAGUGAUUUGAAUAAUUGUGUAUAACAAUUGUUAGACAAAUGAUCAAUACUGCUACUAGUGUGUUAAAUACUAAAUAGCGGCACAGAAUACGGCUUACGCU